rnacentral:misc_RNA from 1 species
UUGGUUGGAGGUGGAGGAGUAAGGCGGCGAAGAGGAGGGAGAGGAAGAGAGGCCGUUGUGUUUGUGUUUCCAUUUUCGGUGGUGUCGUGUGUUUUUUGAGAAUGAGCUGAGCGAGUGGCUUCUUUGGGAUUGGCGUGCGAGGUUGAUGCCUAUUUAACUGAUCCAUUAGGAGGAGAUGGUUUGGCUGUCCUGGUGGAUUACUUUUGUG